rnacentral:rRNA from 1 species
GGGGCAGCAUGGUCUUAGCUUGCUAAGGCCGAUGGCGACCGGCGCACGGGUGAGUAACACGUAUCCAACCUGCCGUCUACUCUUGGACAGCCUUCUGAAAGGAAGAUUAAUACAAGAUGGCAUCAUGAGUCCGCAUGUUCACAUGAUUAAAGGUAUUCCGGUAGACGAUGGGGAUGCGUUCCAUUAGAUAGUAGGCGGGGUAACGGCCCACCUAGUCUUCGAUGGAUAGGGGUUCUGAGAGGAAGGUCCCCCACAUUGGAACUGAGACACGGUCCAAACUCCUACGGGAGGCAGCAGUGAGGAAUAUUGGUCAAUGGGCGAGAGCCUGAACCAGCCAAGUAGCGUGAAGGAUGACUGCCCUAUGGGUUGUAAACUUCUUUUAUAAAGGAAUAAAGUCGGGUAUGGAUACCCGUUUGCAUGUACUUUAUGAAUAAGGAUCGGCUAACUCCGUGCCAGCAGCCGCGGUAAUACGGAGGAUCCGAGCGUUAUCCGGAUUUAUUGGGUUUAAAGGGAGCGUAGAUGGAUGUUUAAGUC